GCCACCGUGGCGCAAUGGUAGCGCAUCACCUUCCUAUCGUCUAGGAUUGAACACGAUUGCGGGGCCAGGUGGGGGUUGCGGGUUCGAUCCCCGUCGGUGGUA